GGGUGCGGCUGCGCUGUUCUUUCCCUCCUUUCACAGCACAAAGCACGAGGAGAAGACGCCGCGCCACCAUCGCGGACACACAAAGACGCACGCAAACCAAGGGUACCGAAGGUGACACGCGAACCCUCGCGAUUCCAGUGCGCCAUUUUUCGGGGGCUUCCCCCUUUUUUGUUUAUGUUUGUUUUUUCUUUUCCCCCGCGGACAUUCGCCAACUUUCCUGUCGUCUCUCUCCUCUGCGGUCCGUGUCUGGAUGCACACAUCUUGGGGGUAUACACAUAAAGCGUGUGUUUAUCUGUCAACUUUUGGAUCUCGCCCCUUCUGCACUGUGCGCGCUCUUCCCUCCCCCCUCCUCCUUCCCCCUAACCCCUUUUUUGUUGUGAACAGCUUCCUUGUACGCGCUUGUCUGUGUAUCUGUACGCGGGAGAGAAAAAAAAACAAAAGUCCGGCGUUUUCUGAGUGUGUGUGUGUGAGGGCUCGCUGUGCUGGAGCCAGGAAAGGCGAUAGUUGCCACAGGUAUCUCCCGAUCGAGGCUCUGCGUUUUCAUCAUUUGGGUCUUUGCUUCUCUGCUGCUGAACCGGCUGUCCGUCUGCACCUGGCUCCCUCCCUCCCGCGAUCUGCCCCUUUCUUCGAACCACAACAGAAAGAGACCGCAGCUGGUGAGUUGCUUCGCUUCACCCAAGCUCCUCCGCGUGCCUCUUCGAGGCAAACCGUUCUAUACACCCACGCCUUGUGGGAUCGCCUUGGAGAAAAGGGCCGGGCCAUCUGCGAGAGGUCUGUUGAAAAGCCUCUGUUGACGUUCCCUUCUUUUCCUCUUUUUUUUUGCUCUUGCUUUCGGCUCUCUCUCCCCCUCUCUCCGCACGCGCCAG
rnacentral:misc_RNA from 1 species